UAGCAGGUGUGAGAGCACGGCCUGCCACAUCGAAACUGAGACACUGUUCGGACUCCUACGGGAGGCUGCAGCGACGAAUCUUCCGCAAUGGGCGAAAGCCUGACGGAGCGACGCCGCGUGCGGGAUGAAGCGGCUUUGCCGUGUAAACCACUGUCAGGAAAUAGAAACACUGAUCAUUUCCAAAGGAAGGGGCGACUAACUCUGUGCCAGCAGUCGCGGUAAUACAGAGGCCCCGAGCGUUAGUCGGAAUCACUGGGCUUAAAGGGUGCGUAGGCGGAUUCAUAAGUGUCGUGUGAAAGCCCACUGCUCAACGGUGGAACCGCACGGCAAACUGUGAGUCUUGAGGAAGCUAGAGGUCGCUAGAACGAAUGGUGGAGCGGUGGAAUGCGUAGAUAUCAUUCGGAAUGCCAAAGGUGAAGACAGGCGACUGGGGCUUUCCUGACGCUGAGGCACGAAAGCGUGGGGAGCAAACAGGAUUAGAUACCCUGGUAGUCCACGCCCUAAACGAUGUACGCUGAAUCACGGCGGCUCUGACGUCGUCGGGAUUGUAGAGAAAUUGGUAAGCGUACCGCCUGGGGAGUACGGUCGCAAGGCUAAAACUCAAAGAAAUUGACGGGGGCUCACACAAGCGGUGGAGCAUGUGGCUUAAUUCGAAGCAACGCGAAGAACCUUACCUGGGUUUGACAUGGUCGGAUUAGCUGGUGGAAACAUCAGUGACAGCCGCAAGGUCGGAACGAUCACAGGUGCUGCAUGGCUGUCGUCAGCUCGUGCUGUGAAGCGUCGGGUUAAGUCCCUUAACGAGCGCAACCCUUGUCGUUAGUUACUAACGCGUUAUGGCGAGGACUCUAACGAGACUGCCGGUGUCAAACCGGAGGAAGGUGGGGAUGACGUCAAGUCCUCAUGGCCCUUACACCCAGGGUUGCACACGUGCUACAAUGGUGCAUACAAAGCGACGCAAGGCCGCGAGGCGGAGCAAAUCGCAAAAAACGCACC
rnacentral:rRNA from 1 species